rnacentral:rRNA from 1 species
GAUAAACGCUGGCGGCGUGCCUUAUGCAUGCAAGUCGAACGAGACCAAGGCUUCGGCCUGAAGUCUAGUGGCGGACGGGUGAGUAACACGUACGUGACCUGUCCGGAAGUGGGGGAUAACCAGCCGAAAGGUUGGCUAAUACCGCAUGUGGUUACCCCUUGGAAGGGGCAAACCAAAGUCGCAAGACGCUUCCGGAGGGGCGUGCGGCCGAUUAGCUAGUUGGUGUGGUAACGGCGCACCAAGGCAUGAUCGGUAGCAGGUCUGAGAGGAUGGUCAGCCACACUGGGACUGAGACACGGCCCAGACUCCUACGGGAGGCAGCAGCAGGGAAUUUUGCGCAAUGGGCGAAAGCCCUGACGCAGCAACGCCGCGUGGGGAUGAAGGCUCUUGGGUCGUAAACCCCUUUUGCCGGGAAGAUAAUGACGGUACCCGGCGAAUAAGCCACGGCUAACUACGUGCCAGCCGCCGCCGUAA